AAGGUGGACGAAGAAGAUGCGGUUUCACACAUCCUUGCCGGGCUGGAGGAAGAAUUCGAUCCCGUGGUUUCUUCCAUGUGCUCACGGGUCGAAUCUGUAACCGUCCUGGAGCUGUACUCGCAGCUUCUGAGCUUCGAGA
rnacentral:snoRNA from 1 species